UAGGGAAUCUUCCACAAUGGGCGAAAGCCUGAUGGAGCAACGCCGCGUGUGUGAUGAAGGGUUUCGGCUCGUAAAACACUGUUGUAAGGGAAGAAUGACAUUGAGAGUAACUGUUCAAUGUGUGACGGUAUCUUACCAGAAAGGAACGGCCAAAUACGUGCCAA
rnacentral:rRNA from 1 species